UUAAUUAAAGCCAAAAAGAGGCAUAUUAUUGUUAAUAAUAUAAUUGAAUUUAAAAUUCUAAUUAAA
rnacentral:tRNA from 1 species